UAGGGAAUUUUCCGCAAUGGGCGAAAGCCUGACGGAGCAACGCCGCGUGAGGGAUGAAGGUCUUCGGAUCGUAAACCUUUGUCUAGAGGGACGAUAAUGACGGUACCUCUGGAGGAAGCCACGGCUAACUACGUGCCAGCAGCCGCGGUAAUACGUAGGUGGCGAGCGUUGUCCGGAAUUACUGGGCGUAAAGGGCGUGUAGGCGGCCUUUUAAGUCAGACGUGAAACCUUCGGGCUUAACCCGAAACCUGCGUUUGAUACUGAAGGGCUUGAGGACCGGAGAGGACAGUGGAAUUCCCAGUGUAGCGGUGAAAUGCGUAGAUAUUGGGAGGAACACCAGUGGCGAAGGCGACUGUCUGGACGGCACCUGACGCUGAGGCGCGAAAGCCAGGGGAGCAAACGGG
rnacentral:rRNA from 1 species